rnacentral:RNase_P_RNA from 1 species
AGGGUUGGCCGGGCAAUCGCGGGCAGCGUCUGCUGUCUGAGGAAAGUCCGCGCUCCAAUGAGCACGGUGCCGGGUAACACCCGGGCGGAGUAAUCCGCGGAUAGGGCCACAGAAACAAACCGCCCCAACGGGUAAGGGUGAAAAGGUGGUGUAAGAGACCACCGGGAUCGGCAGUAAUGUCGAUUUCCAGGCAACCCCCACUGGGAGCAAAGCCAAACAGGAGCGAAGUCCGUACGUGGACGAGAAGCUGCUCGCGUCUCUCGAGCUCCGGGUGGGCUGCACGAGCGCCACGGUAACGUGGCGCCUAGAUGGAUGAUUGCCGAAGUGCAGGGAGGCUCUUUCGAGCGCCAACCAGCACGGGACAGAACGCGGCUUACAGGCCGAUCCUGAGU